rnacentral:rRNA from 1 species
AAAGAUUAAGCCAUGCAUGUCUAAGUAUAAACAACUUUGUACUGUGAAACUGCGAAUGGCUCAUUAAAUCAGUUAUAGUUUAUUUGAUUAUACCUUACUACUUGGAUAACCGUGGUAAUUCUAGAGCUAAUACAUGCUAAAAAUCCCGACUUCUGGAAGGGAUGUAUUUAUUAGAUAAGAAACCAAUGCGGGCAACCGCUUUUCUGGUGUUUCAUAAUAACUUUUCGAAUCGCAUGGCCUUGUGCUAGCGAUGUUUCAUUCAAAUUUCUGCCCUAUCAACUUUCGAUGGUAUGAUAGAGGCCUACCAUGGUUU